rnacentral:rRNA from 1 species
CAGCAGUCGCCGCGGGAAUACGUAGGUGGCAAGCGUUGUCCGGAAUUAUUGGGCGUAAAGGGCUCGCAGGUGGUUUCUUAAGUCUGAUGUGAAAGCCCCCGGCUCAACCGGGGAGGGUCAUUGGAAACUGGGAAACUUGAGUGCAGAAGAGGAGAGUGGAAUUCCACGUGUAGCGGUGAAAUGCGUAGAGAUGUGGAGGAACACCAGUGGCGAAGGCGACUCUCUGGUCUGUAACUGACGCUGAGGAGCGAAAGCGUGGGGAGCGAACAGGAUUAGAUACCCCUGUAGUCCCUGUCUCUUAUAC